rnacentral:rRNA from 1 species
AUGAACGCUGGCGGCGUGCCUAAUACAUGCCAGUCGAGCGAACAGACGAGGAGCUUGCUCCUCUGACGUUAGCGGCGGCCGGGUGAGUAACCCGUGGAUAACCUACCUAUAAGACUGGGAUAACUUCGGGAAACCGGAGCUAAUACCGGAUAAUAUAUUGAACCGCAUGGUUCAAUAGUGAAAGACGGUUUUGCUGUCACUUAUAGAUGGAUCCGCGCCGCAUUAGCUAGUUGGUAAGGUAACGGCUUACCAAGGCAACGAUGCGUAGCCGACCUGAGAGGGUGAUCGGCCACACUGGAACUGAGACACGGUCCAGACUCCUACGGGAGGCAGCAGUAGGGAAUCUUCCGCAAUGGGCGAAAGCCUGACGGAGCAACGCCGCGUGAGUGAUGAAGGUCUUCGGAUCGUAAAACUCUGUUAUUAGGGAAGAACAAAUGUGUAAGUAACUAUGCACGUCUUGACGGUACCUAAUCAGAAAGCCACGGCUAACUACGUG